UUGAUGACCAGAGGGCAUUUUGUUCUAUUUGAUGACAACACUUGUAUCAUUACACAUAAGAAAUCAGGCCAUAAAGUUCAAAUUGACAUGACUUCAAAUAAGAUGUUUCCACUUGAUAUUUCUAACAUGGAGGAUUUUGCUCUUACUGCUAGCAUGAAAGAUGACUCAACAUUAUGACAUCUCAGAUAUGGACAUCUUCAUAUGAACGACCUGAAAAUGCUCAGGGAUAAAGGUAUGGUUUUCGGAUUACCAAGAAUUGACUCAACUAAUUUAUUUGAAAGAUGCAUUUAUGGCAAGCAGACUAGGAAGUCAUUUCCUGUUGGAAAAGCUAAAAGAGCUUCACAUUAUCUAGAACUAAUUCAUGCUGAUUUAUGUGGGCCAAUGCAAACGAAGUCCUUGGGUGGAAGUAUAUACUUUUUACUAUUUGUUGAUGACUA